rnacentral:misc_RNA from 1 species
GAUGAAGAACGUAGUGAAAUGCGAUAAGUAAUGUGAAUUGCAGAAUUCAGUGAAUCAUCGAAUCUUUGAACGCACCUUGCGCCCUUUGGACUUCUGAAGGGCAUGCCUGUUUGAGUAUCAUGAACACCUCAACUCCUUAUGGUCUUCCAUGAUGAGCUUGGACUUUGGGGGUUUUGCUGGCCUACAGUCAGCUCCUCUAAAAUAAAUUAGCUUACCGGUGUUUGGUGGGUAUCAUGGGUGUGAUAACUAUCUACGCUCGUGGUUUUCCACCAGGUAACCUUCAGCAGUGGAGGUUCACUGGAGCUCAUAGAUGUCUCUCCUCAGCGAGGACAGCCCUUUGAAUGUUUGAUCUCAAAUCAGGUAGGACUACCCGCUGAACUUAAGCAUAUCAAUAAGCGGAGGA